UCCGCAGGCGGCCAUGCGCGUCGUGAGUUAAAUGUUGGGGCUCAACUCCAACGCUGCUUACGAUACGGCAUGGCUAGAGGCCGGGAGAGGCACACGGAAUUGCCGGUGUAGUAGUAAUAUGCGUUAAUAUCGGCAGGAACACCAAAUGCGAAGGCAGUGUGCUGGAACGGUUCUGACGCUCAGGGACGAAAGCGUGGGGAGCGAAAG
rnacentral:rRNA from 1 species